rnacentral:tRNA from 1 species
AAGAUUUUAAGUUAAAUAAACUAUUAACCUUCAAAGUUAAAUUUGCCUAAUAAAUUAAGUAAAUCUUA